AUUGAACGCUGGCGGCAUGCUUUACACAUGCAAGUCGAACGGUAACAGGCCGCAAGGUGCUGACGAGUGGCGAACGGGUGAGUAAUGCAUCGGAACGUGCCCAGUCGUGGGGGAUAACGCAGCGAAAGCUGCGCUAAUACCGCAUACGAUCUAUGGAUGAAAGCGGGGGACCGUAAGGCCUCGCGCGAUUGGAGCGGCCGAUGUCAGAUUAGGUAGUUGGUGAGGUAAAGGCUCACCAAGCCGACGAUCUGUAGCUGGUCUGAGAGGAUGACCAGCCACACUGGGACUGAGACACGGCCCAGACUCCUACGGGAGGCAGCAGUGGGGAAUUUUGGUCAAUGGGCGCAAGCCUGAUCCAGCAAUGCCGCGUGCAGGAAGAAGGCCUUCGGGUUGUAAACUGCUUUUGUACGGAACGAAACGGUCCUGGUUAAUACCCGGGGCUAAUGACGGUACCGUAAGAAUAAGCACCGGCUAACUACGUGCCAGCCGCCGCCGUAAGAC
rnacentral:rRNA from 1 species